AGUAAAAUGCCUGAUUUAAAAGGGUUAUCAUGAUAGGAUAAAUAAUGUAAUGAAUUACUUUUACUA
rnacentral:tRNA from 1 species